AUUGAACGCUGGCGGCAGGCCUAACACAUGCAAGUCGAGCGGAUGAAGGGAGCUUGCUCCUGGAUUCAGCGGCGGACGGGUGAGUAAUGCCUAGGAAUCUGCCUGGUAGUGGGGGAUAACGUCCGGAAACGGGCGCUAAUACCGCAUACGUCCUGAGGGAGAAAGUGGGGGAUCUUCGGACCUCACGCUAUCAGAUGAGCCUAGGUCGGAUUAGCUAGUUGGUGGGGUAAAGGCCUACCAAGGCGACGAUCCGUAACUGGUCUGAGAGGAUGAUCAGUCACACUGGAACUGAGACACGGUCCAGACUCCUACGGGAGGCAGCAGUGGGGAAUAGUGGACAAUGGGCGAAAGCCUGAUCCAGCCAUGCCGCGUGUGUGAAGAAGGUCUGCGGAUUGUAAAGCACUUUAAGUUGGGAGGAAGGGCAGUAAGUUAAUACCUUGCUGUUUUGACGUUACCAACAGAAUAAGCACCGGCUAACUUCGUG
rnacentral:rRNA from 1 species